rnacentral:rRNA from 1 species
UCCUACGGGGGUCAUCAGUUAUUAAUCUUUUUCAAUUUUCUCCUGCCUUAACCAGCCAAGUAGCGUGAAGGAUGACUGCCCUAUGGGUUGUAAACUUCUUUUAUAUGGGAAUAAAGUUUUCCACGUGUGGAAUUUUGUAUGUACCAUAUGAAUAAGGAUCGGCUAACUCCGUGCCAGCAGCCGCGGUAAUACGGAGGAUCCGAGCGUUAUCCGGAUUUAUUGGGUUUAAAGGGAGCGUAGGUGGACAGUUAAGUCAGUUGUGAAAGUUUGCGGCUCAACCGUAAAAUUGCAGUUGAUAC